rnacentral:rRNA from 1 species
GGUUAAGCGACUAAGCGUACACGGUGGAUGCCCUGGCAGUCAGAGGCGAUGAAGGACGUGCUAAUCUGCGAAAAGCGUCGGUAAGGUGAUAUGAACCGUUAUAACCGGCGAUGUCCGAAUGGGGAAACCCAGUGCAAUUCGUUGCACUAUCGUUAACUGAAUACAUAGGUUAACGAGGCGAACCGGGGGAACUGAAACAUCUAAGUACCCCGAGGAAAAGAAAUCAACCGAGAUUCCCCCAGUAGCGGCGAGCGAACGGGGAGCAGCCCAGAGUCUGAAUCAGCUUGUGUGUUAGUGGAACGGUCUGGAAAGUCCGACGGUACAGGGUGAUAGUCCCGUACACCAAAAUGCACAGGCUGUGAACUCGAAGAGUAGGGCGGGACACGUGGUAUCCUGUCUGAAUAUGGGGGGACCAUCCUCCAAGGCUAAAUACUCCUGACUGACCGAUAGUGAACCAGUACCGUGAGGGAAAGGCGAAAAGAACCCCGGCGAGGGGAGUGAAAAAGAACCUGAAACCGUGUACGUACAAGCAGUGGGAGCACCUUCGGGUGUGACUGCGUACCUUUUGUAUAAUGGGUCAGCGACUUAUAUUCUGUAGCAAGGUUAACCGUAUAGGGGAGCCGCAGGGAAACCGAGUCUUAACUGGGCGUUAAGUUGCAGGGUAUAGACCCGAAACCCGGUGAUCUAGCCAUGGGCAGGUUGAAGGUUGGGUAACACUAACUGGAGGACCGAACCGACUAAUGUUGAAAAAUUAGCGGAUGACUUGUGGCUGGGGGUGAAAGGCCAAUCAAACCGGGAGAUAGCUGGUUCUCCCCGAAAGCUAUUUAGGUAGCGCCUCGUGAACUCAUCUUCGGGGGUAGAGCACUGUUUCGGCUAGGGGGUCAUCCCGACUUACCAACCCGAUGCAAACUACGAAUACCGAAGAAUGUUAUCACGGGAGACACACGGCGGGUGCUAACGUCCGUCGUGAAGAGGGAAACAACCCAGACCGCCAGCUAAGGUCCCAAAGUCAUGGUUAAGUGGGAAACGAUGUGGGAAGGCACAGACAGCCAGGAUGUUGGCUUAGAAGCAGCCAUCAUUUAAAGAAAGCGUAAUAGCUCACUGGUCGAGUCGGCCUGCGCGGAAGAUGUAACGGGGCUAAACCAUGCACCGAAGCUGCGGCAGCGACACUAUGUGUUGUUGGGUAGGGGAGCGUUCUGUAAGCCUGCGAAGGUGUGCUGUGAGGCAUGCUGGAGGUAUCAGAAGUGCGAAUGCUGACAUAAGUAACGAUAAAGCGGGUGAAAAGCCCGCUCGCCGGAAGACCAAGGGUUCCUGUCCAACGUUAAUCGGGGCAGGGUGAGUCGACCCCUAAGGCGAGGCCGAAAGGCGUAGUCGAUGGGAAACAGGUUAAUAUUCCUGUACUUGGUGUUACUGCGAAGGGGGGACGGAGAAGGCUAUGUUAGCCGGGCGACGGUUGUCCCGGUUUAAGCAUGUAGGCUG